CAGUGCAAUAUUGAAAGAGCAU
rnacentral:miRNA from 1 species